UGUGUUGCACUAUUGUGCACGUCUGGAAGCAUAUUAUUGGGUUGGUUAAGGGGUUUGGUUUGUUUGAUCUACCUUUUUAGUCUUUUGCAUGUUAGGUGCUUGGCGAAGAUUUGGAGAGAAGUUUCUUCUUUUUUAAAAAAAGAUGUUUGCUCAAUUCUAAGCUUGUUGCAUGCUCAGACUUCAGUUUCUUUUUUUCGGGUUUUGAGAGCUGGGGUCUGGUUAGGGGUUUUGAUUGGUUUAGACUGUCUUUUUCUCUUCAAGUAAGGCGUGUUUUACGAAGGUUUUGAGAGACGUUUUUUCUUUUUUGAAGAUAUUUGUUGGGAUUCAUGCUUGGUGUGUGCGGAGACUUUGAUUCCUUCUUAGGUUUCAAGUUGUUCAUACAAAAGGACAUGUUCAUCGCAUGUUGUUUGCGGGAGUGAUUGAUGGAAGGAACUCUGGUGGGCAAUGUCUUUGUGUUUGUGCUUCCUGUUGAGAUGUUGCUUUGGUGCCUUUGGCUUGAUUGCUUUGUUGGAGCAUAUUGAUUUGUUUUUUCUUCCUUUCUUUCUUGCUUUGUUGGAGCAUAUGAAAUUUAAUUUGUUCUUAACUGUGUUUCUGCUGUUCUAUCUACAGGGUUUUGACACACAAAUCGAAGCCUUCUUUGGUUCAAACCAAGUUACAUGAUCUGUUUCAUUGGUGACACAACGUGUGUUUAAUAUUUCCUCUCAUUGCAAGGAGGAUUUCUUGGAGUUACACAGCCAAGCAGGUCUGCUCUCUAUUCUCCUUGACUUUUAAAAAAAAUAAAUCAUGAUAUUGUCUUUUUUUUUUGGUCUCUUGUAUGUUCUUCAGUAAGGUAUGUUUCUCUACAUUAUCUUUGUUUAUAGUUAGUCUUGGCAAUUUAUUUCAAAUUUUGUAAGUCACAUUGCUUUAUUCCAUCAACAUCCACCCAUAAACAUUUUCAAGUAUAUUGACAUCUAGACAAUAAUUGUUGGUUGUUCUUGAGGAAUUGUCAACUUCAUCUCUUUAUUUUAGUAGUGCAAUAUUAUGGAACCACUGAGUCUCAAUAAUAUCCAAAUUUAAAUAGGUGAUUGCCUCCCAACAAAAUAAGGUAUGCUCAACAUUGGAAGGAGCUGCAAAAUAAAAAACAUUGUCCAAGCAUGUACUUAGUUUUUUUUUUUCUUCUUCUUUUACUAUCCCAUGUUGCCAAUUGUAUGUUUAGUUAUGUAACCACGUGAUCACAGGGUCUACUUUAGCUUGACUUUAUUUAUCAUGUUAUAUUCUUCUGUAUUUUUUGUUUUUCUUAUUUCGCGUGUUGAAACUUAAUAUUUCCAAUCUUCAUCAAUCGCUAUGGAAUUGCGGCAACAACUACUCUUACCAAAAAAAAAGUUAUUUUGUUUCAUUAUUGUCAUUGCAUAUAUUAGUAAUAUAAAAUGUUGAAAAAAAAAGUCAUUCAAACAAAGAUGUUAUAAAUUCUACUGAAAAAAAUAAAACAAGAUGAAAUUGAACCACAAUGGAAUUACUUGACAAUUGAUAUUUUAGUUAUUUGAACUCUAAUCAUACUAUAUAUCAAAUUUGAGGUCAUUUGAACACCGUCUAGUUUGCGUCAAGUAUUGAAACUUACUUUACUACUAUUGUAAUCGAUUUGGAUAGUAUACUAAAGUGUUAUUCGAGAUACUUGGGUAUCAAUCAAGUCAUUUUCAUAAUAUUUUCUUUUGAAUUUUUUUUCAUGUCCUAAAAAACAUCCAUAUCUCGUACGAAUUCAAUCGCUACUUCUGAAAUUGUAAUUGUAGUUUUGUAUUUACUUAUUUUCAUAUAUUUCUUACUUCCUAAGUCAUUACACAUAUUUGGAUUGCACUACUAUGUUAUUCUAUUUGGUUGUCUUGAAUUUUAAAGUGAAAAACUCAAUUGAGUGAAACACAAGAUAAGUGUAUGCACAUGAGGGAGUGAGUGAGGAAAUAAUUCUUUCUUUAUCACUAAAGUAUCUUGUAGAUUUGAAGAUAUAGGAUAACACCAACAAAAAAUGAAAAGGUUGAACAUUGUAAUAUGGAAUUUUGAGUAUAAGAUUGAGAGAAGGAAGAGAUAUGAUGCUAAAAUUGAUGGUUUGAGAAACAAGGCU